rnacentral:rRNA from 1 species
CACGUAGGGGGCGAGCGUUGUCCGGAUUUAUUGGGCGUAAAGAGCUCGUAGGCGGCUCGGUAAGUCAGGUGUGAAAACUCUAGGCUCAACCUAGAGACGCCACCUGAUACUGCUGUGGCUAGAGUCCGGUAGGGGAGCAUGGAAUUCCUGGUGUAGCGGUGAAAUGCGCAGAUAUCAGGAGGGACACCAGUGGCGAAGGCGGUGCUCUGGGCCGGAACUGACGCUGAGGAGCGAAAGCGUGGGGAGCAAACAGG